CGAUUCUUCGGAUGAAGUCUCUUGUGACCGAUUGGCGGACGGGUGAGUAACGCGUGGGUAACCUGCCUCACACAGGGGGAUAACAGUUGGAAACGACCGCUAAUACCGCAUAAGCUGCCGGUGCCGCAUGGCACUGACGGAAAAGAUUUUAUCGGUGUGAGAUGGACCCGCGUCUGAUUAGCCAGUUGGCAGGGUAACGGCCUACCAAAGCGACGAUCAGUAGCCGGCCUGAGAGGGUGAACGGCCACAUUGGGACUGAGACACGGCCCAGACUCCUGCGGGAGGCAGCAGUGGGGAAUAUUGCACAAUGGGGGAAACCCUGAUGCAGCGACGCCGCGUGAGUGAAGAAGUAUUUCGGUAUGUAAAGCUCUAUCAGCAGGGAAGAAAAUGACGGUACCUGAUUAAGAAGCCCCGGCUAACUACGUGCCAGCAGCCGCGGUAAUACGUAGGGGGCAAGCGUUAUCCGGAUUUACUGGGUGUAAAGGGAGCGUAGACGGUGAUGCAAGUCAGAAGUGAAAGCCCGGGGCUCAACUCCGGGACUGCUUUUGAAACUGUGUGACUGGAGUGCAGGAGAGGUAAGCGGAAUUCCUGGUGUAGCGGUGAAAUGCGUAGAUAUCAGGAGGAACACCAGUGGCGAAGGCGGCUUACUGGACUGUAACUGACGUUGAGGCUCGAAAGCGUGGGGAGCAAACAGGAUUAGAUACCCUGGUAGUCCACGCCGU
rnacentral:rRNA from 1 species